CAAUCCCGAACCUGAAGGAAAUAACUGGAACAGUAGUCAUGAAGAUACGAGCCACAGUUGGAGAUAAUCAUGUUCACUGCUGCAAGGCCAGGCGAAGACCUCUGCUGUCCCUGUGGAUUACUUGCUGUGCGAGACACCAGCAGUGAGACUCGGAGCUUAUGCGCCCCUGACCCGACCCUCCUCGUUUUGUUACUUGUAUGUGCUGGUGGAAGUUUGCAGCUUGUUGGAGCUACUGUUUACGUGGAACUUUUGAGCCAUUUUGAAUUGACUGAAGGCUUAGACACUGCUAGCAAUGAGCUCUCAAAGCCAUCCAGAUGGUCUUUCUGGCCGAGACCAGCCAGUGGAGCUGCUGAACCCUGCCCGCGUGAACCACAUGCCCAGCACGGUGGACGUGGCCACAGCACUGCCCUUGCAGGUGGCCCCCACAGCAAUGCCCAUGGACCUGCGCCUGGACCACCAGUUCUCGCUGCCUGUGGCAGAGCCAGCACUACGGGAGCAGCAGCUGCAACAGGAGCUCCUGGCACUGAAGCAGAAGCAGCAGAUCCAGCGGCAGAUCCUCAUUGCCGAGUUCCAGCGGCAGCAUGAGCAGCUGUCCCGGCAGCACGAGGCCCAGCUGCAUGAGCACAUAAAGCAGCAGCAGGAGAUGCUGGCUCUCAAGCACCAGCAGGAGCUGCUGGAGCACCAGCGCAAGCUGGAGAGGCACCGCCAGGAGCAGGAGCUGGAGAAGCAGCACCGCGAGCAGAAGCUGCAGCAGCUCAAGAACAAGGAGAAGGGCAAGGAGAGUGCCGUGGCCAGCACAGAGGUGAAGAUGAAGCUACAGGAGUUUGUCCUCAACAAAAAGAAGGCCCUGGCCCAUCGGAACCUGAACCAGUGCAUUUCCAGUGACCCCCGCUUCUGGUACGGGAAGACGCAACAUAGCUCCCUGGACCAGAGCUCUCCGCCACAGAGCGGGGUGUCAGCCUCCUACAACCACCCAGUCCUGGGGAUGUACGAUGCCAAAGAUGACUUCCCUCUGAGGAAAACAGCUUCUGAACCCAACCUGAAAUUGCGGUCCAGACUUAAGCAGAAAGUGGCAGAGAGACGGAGCAGCCCCCUAUUGCGCAGGAAGGAUGGGCCCGUGGUUACUGCCCUAAAAAAGCGUCCCCUGGAUGUCACAGACUCCGCGUGCAGCAGUGCCCCAGGUUCCGGGCCCAGCUCACCCAACAGCAGCUCUGGCAACGUCAGCACUGAGAACGGCAUCUCGACCACCAUGUCCAACGUCCCGGCUGAGACCAGUUUGGCACACAGACUUGUGACUCGAGAAGCCUCUGUCGCCCCGCUCCCUCUCUACACAUCGCCGUCCCUGCCGAACAUCACCCUGGGACUUCCUGCCACUGGCCCUUCUGCAGGCACAGCAGCCCAGCAGGACGCCGAGAGGCUCUCUCUCCCGGCCCUGCAGCAGCGGAUCUCCCUCUUCCCCGGCACCCACCUGGGCCCCUAUCUGGGCGCCUCGCCCCUGGAGCGGGACGGCGGGGCAGCGCACAGCCCCCUUCUGCAGCACAUGGUCCUACUGGAGCAGCCGCCCGCACAGGCCCCCCUCGUCACAGGCCUGGGUGCGCUGCCCCUGCACGCACAGCCCCUGGUCGGCGCAGACCGUGUGUCCCCGUCCAUGCACAAGCUGCGGCAGCACCGCCCACUGGGGCGCACGCAGUCGGCGCCGCUGCCGCAGAGCGCACAGGCCCUUCAGCACCUGGUGAUCCAGCAGCAGCACCAGCAGUUCCUGGAGAAGCACAAGCAGCACUUCCAGCAGCAGCAGCUGCACAUGGGCAAGAUCAUCCCCAAACCCAGUGAGCCGGCCCGGCAGCCCGAGAGCCACCCCGAGGAGACGGAGGAGGAGCUCCGCGAGCACCAGGCCCUGCUGGAUGAGCCCUACCUGGACCGGCUUCCGGGGCAGAAGGAGGCACAUGCGCUGGGCGGCGUGCAGGUGAAGCAGGAGCCCAUCGAGAGUGACGAGGAGGAGGUGGAGCCCUCAUGCGAGGCAGAGCCUGGCCAGCGUCCACCCACUGAUCAGGAGCUGCUCUUCAGACAGCAAGCACUCCUGCUGGAGCAGCAGCGGAUCCACCAGCUGAGGACCUACCAGGCAUCCAUGGAGGCCGCAGGCAUCCCUGUGUCCUUCGGCAGCCACCGGCCUCUGUCCCGGGCACAGUCCUCCCCGGCGUCUGCCACCUUCCCUGUGACUGUCCAGGAGCCCCCCAGCAAGCCGCGGUUCACCACAGGCCUCGUGUAUGACACGCUGAUGCUGAAGCACCAGUGCGCCUGUGGGAACACCAACAGCCACCCCGAGCACGCUGGGAGGAUCCAGAGCAUCUGGUCCCGCCUGCAGGAGACCGGCCUGCGCAGCAAGUGUGAGUGCGUCCGAGGACGGAAGGCCACGCUGGAGGAGCUGCAGACGGUGCACUCGGAGGCCCACACGCUGCUGUAUGGCACAAACCCCCUCAACAGGCAGAAGCUGGACAGUAAGAAACUUCUAGGCUCCCUGACCUCCGUGUUUGUGAGACUCCCUUGCGGUGGUGUUGGGGUGGACAGCGACACCAUCUGGAACGAGGUGCACUCGUCAGGCGCGGCUCGUCUGGCCGUGGGUUGCGUGGUGGAGCUGGUCUUCAAGGUGGCCACGGGGGAGCUGAAGAAUGGCUUUGCUGUGGUCCGGCCCCCAGGACACCACGCGGAGGAGAGCACGCCCAUGGGCUUUUGCUACUUCAACUCGGUGGCGGUUGCUGCCAGGCUCCUCCAGCAGCGGCUGAGCGUGAGCAGGAUCCUCAUUGUGGACUGGGACGUGCACCAUGGGAACGGGACCCAGCAGGCUUUCUACAGUGACCCCAGUGUUCUGUACGUGUCCCUGCACCGCUAUGAUGAUGGGAACUUCUUUCCAGGCAGCGGUGCACCUGACGAGGUGGGCACAGGGCCAGGCGUGGGCUUCAAUGUCAACAUGGCCUUCACGGGAGGCCUGGACCCCCCCAUGGGAGACACGGAGUACUUGGCGGCCUUCAGACCCGAUGCUGUCAGCCUGCCUGCUGCCCCGCUCCCCUUCUCGCGUGCUUCCUGGAGCUCAGCGCCCGAGGAUUCCAGGAGUGCACUUAAAGAUGUCAUCACUGGGCCGGGGAUGUAGCUCCGUGGUGCCCCGCCUGCUGCACAAGCGCAAGGUCCCGAGUGAUCCCCGGUACCAAAAAAAAAAAAGAGAUACCAUUUUUUCUCCUUUAUUUACAUAAAAAUGGAGAAGCAAUGCUUGUGCCUUGUGAAGCCACCUCCCUGUAACUGCAGGGCCAUGCUCCCUAAGCCACAGUGGUUCCUCAGCCAGCAGGACGGGCGUGGGCGCAGAGCUCCGGGCUCACUGCCAUCUGUGAAAUGGCAGCUUCGGCCCGCGUGCUCAGCGGGAAGGUUCUGGCGGCCGGCUGGGUGCUCGAGCCCGCCAGGCUCCGUGGGCCUGACCCAUGCACAUGGAAAGCAUGUGUGUGCACACGUGUCUCUGUCCCUGCGGGUGAGGUUCCCGGGCCCAUCUCUGCACUGUGCACAUGUCUGUGAGUGUGUGCGCCCAUCUCCAGCGGUGUACAUGCGUGCGCAUGUCUCUCUGCCUGUGCGUGCGUGUCUCUGGCGGGUGAGACCGCACAAGGACACAUCUGUGAAGUUGGGACACAGACUGGCACGUGCUCUUUCAAGACCCUGGACAUAUCACACACUGCUCAGUGUCUGCGGGCUCAUCGGGAAGUAGGAUCCUGCUCCUGGGUCCCGCUGGAUAGGCGGGUGGGGUCCCCACCACUUGUGGGAACAUGGGUCCCUUUUGAUCAAGGCCCAGAGCAGGCCGAGGGCCCUGGUCCCUGACCGAGCCUGCUGCAGAGAGGAGGGUGCUUUCCUGGUGAUGGGACACUCGGUGCCCUUUCUCCUCCCGAGGCUCUGGUCCUGGGUGAGGCCUGACACCGGGUGCCCAGCCCAGCCCAGGUGCGGUCCUCCCUCCAGCCUUGCUGGCCGGGCCCAGGUGGCAGCCUCUGAGCCAGCAUCUGUCUGAAUGUCCUGCUAAGGGUGCACGGCCGCGCCUUACUGAGAGAGCACUUUAAAGUCAAUAGCUGCGUGGAGAAGGAAAAUUGUUUGACGCUUUUUAUUGACUUUAAUGUAAAAUAACGCUUUGAAGUUUACGAUGUAUGGCUCCCUGGGCGUCAGAUGGGGGAAGAAGGGUCAGAGACUGGUCUCCCCCUUUGGGGCCCCCGGAGACAGUGUGAGCCUCAAAGGCAGCACCUGGUUAUGCAGACCCCUGGCCUGCCAACUUGCAUUUCCAGGGGAUCAAUCCUUGGGUGAAGAAAAGAUAAGAAAAUGGCCUCUAAUGAGAUCCAGAAGGGGCCAGCACUUUCUCCUCAGGCUCCUCAGGCGAUGUGAGGGGAACAGGCCCUUAAUUCAAACCAGUCCCAGUGCCAGACGCGGCUUUGAAGUCCGCCGAGGGCAGGCAGAGCGCUCGGGCUUGGGCGCAUAAAAUGAUGUCCCUUCCUCGACCUCCUGUCUUCCCUCAUCAGCACCCGGGGCACGGCCCGGCGGCUCCCUGUCAGGCGUCGCGCAGAGGAGACUGAGGUCCUCUGCUCCUCAGGCUCGUCAGAGGCUCGGGGGUCGCUUCACUCUCACGCCGGCGGACAGUGGCCUCAGCCUGCGGCCUUGAGCCUCCGUCUCUUCCUCUUCGCCAGCGAGCUGCUGCUACCGCGGCAUUGGCCAGUGGCCACCUGCAGUCGUGGCACAGCACUGCCUGCUGUGGGGCCACGUGUCCCCGGGAUGGGCACCGGCUGUGUGAAGAGGGCCCGCCUCCCCAUCCCACUGCCUUCUCUGAAGGCUUCCAGGUCUGCUUCCGUGCAGAUGUGGGCCUGAGGGCACAGCAGUGGCUCUAGAAGAGCGCUUGGGAGUUGAGGACCCUCGUGACUUGCCAUCCCUGGCUGAUCUGCUCGGCCCAGCCUGGAGAUACGUGCGAGAGACGGAGUGCAGGGGUGCCGUGGAGCUGCAGGCAGCGGGUUGGUGCGGGUCCCCAAGGGCCCUGCCUGCUGGGGGCCCUGGCUGAGUCUUGGAGGAACGAGUUUGGCCCAGGGGCAUUACAGGAAAAGGCUGCUUGCUCCCUGUGGAACAACCUGGAGACAAAGCACCUCUCUGGCCUUCACACCAGUAGCAGGGCUUUGGCGCAGUCUCUGGCUGGGGAGUGGCAGAAGGGUCUGUGUCCUGGCAGCUGGGUGGAGGACUCGGUCCCGGACAUCCAGGGGAUGCAUCCAGGAGAGGGGCAGGGCCUGCUCAGGGAGGGCGAGCGGGACGGCGAGGAGGGGCUGCCUCGUGUAGUCGGGACAACUCCGCCACCCUGCGAGGGGCUGCUGACACAGGCUGGAGGUGGCGGGCCCCGGCUGGCUGGGGCACGCUGGCAUGGAGGAGGGUGGAGAGCAGGGUGGGCUGAACGCUCGACUGGGGCACCGCUGCUCAGCAGAUUUCAGGAGACAGCGCACUGUCCGCGGAGGCCGGCACCGCAAGCUCUCGAGGUUAGGACAGAAUAUGCUCGGUGUGCGAGGAGAGCCUGAGGAAGCGGCAGGGACGGGCUGGCAGAGCCCCACAGAGCGGGGAGGGGAGGGCCACCUGGGCCACUGCCAGCGUGCGACGUCCCCACCCCGCCGGCUCCCCUCUCCCUCGCGGUCUGGAGUGCAUGUGUGGAAGUGGCUGCUGAGAAGUGGGGUCCUGUGGAGGGAGGCGCGCACCUGGAGGUAAAGGUGCCAGCGGCCCAAGGCCGCCGUGGGAGACGGGAGGGCGGGCCUGGGGAGCAGAGCCGCAGAGGAGGCGAAAGGCCUCAGAGCAGACGCCCGCUGCUGUGGCCGGGCCUGAGACCACAGCCCAAGAGCGUGUGGAGGGGCCUGAGCGCCGCAGGCUGCAGGGGCAAGAGCGUUUCCGGCCGCCCACAGUCCGGCUGUGCCUUGCGGCCUGCUCGCCCUCACUGGCUGCAGGCUGGCAGGGUCCUGCCGGUUCCCACUGUCUCCGCCCUCUACCCACGCUCCGAGGAGUUGCACGGCCAGGGCUGGCCCGCACUCGGGAGUCACGCCUCAUGGGGCAGCGCAAUCACAGAGGCACCGGCUCCCUACCCUCAGAGAGGACAUAGGUGAGGCACGAGGGAAGUCUCCCAGGUGUCAGUGCCAUCCAGUGCCCGUGGCAUCUGCUCCCUCCGAAUCCUGGAGAGAGCAGCACUGCCGGUCAGGCCAGUCCUGGGAUGUGAACACGUGUGCUUCUGCCUCAGGUUUGGAAGCCCUGUGAGAGGAGACGCUUAGAUGGGCGGGCAGCACUGGUGGGUCAGCUUGGCAUGGGUGGGCACGUGGAAGGCAGAAUGGCAGCAGAGACACCAGGGUGGCUAGUUCCUCCGGAACUGCUCUGCUCCCAUCGAAGCAUGGUGGUGGCCCUGUCAUCUGGCCCUUUGUCGGCCAUUCAGACCCCGUGUUGGCCCUGGGCUUUGCUUGGUGAGUCGGUGUUCUUGGCCAGCCGUGGGUCUCUGAGAUGCUGCCCGGGUACCUGGGGCUGUGGUGCCCCAGCCCCGUGGCAGUGCCUAAUGACUAGCUCGGUGGGUGGCAGAGUGGCCCUGCCCCCCAGUCUGGCCACCACCUGGCUUCCAUCUUCAGUCUGCAGAAGUGAGUGGACUGACAACAGGGCAGGGCGCAGGGAGACCACGGAGAGCUGCCGCACAGGGCCGCUUCCAGCACCGCAGCCACCGCAGGGAAGCCCCUCACCCUCGGCUUCGGCCCUGCACCUCUGCCAAGGGCCCUGCAGAAGGUGCACUCUGGAGUCAGGAGCUCUUGGCACAACAGGAACCUUGUCCUUGCUACCUCCCUGCCCUCGGGGCUGCACCCAGUGUGCACUGUGAGUCAGCUCUGGACACCUGUGGGACUCACCCCUUCUCCCGCCGCCUUUGAGCAGGUGGUUCCUACUCUGCUGCCCUGGGGAACUGCUCACCUCUGCCCCACCCUCACUCACCUGGGAAAGGCCAACGUGACCCUGUAGCCGGACCCUCCUUAGAGGCAGCUUGAGAGAGUCCCCUGUGACUGUCUGGGCCUCACCGCCUUAGACCCUCAAGUUGGUCCUGGAGCAAUUCGUAGGUCGUGAGUCACCUCCCUUUACUUGGUGCACCAGUUGAACCCUCCAGUGUGAAGGCCACAGAUGGGCGACGCGUCCCCAGUACAGCAGGGAGCAUCUUCAGUCAUGUCACAUGCAGAAGUCCUGUCCCCAUGAGGCGUGGUGACAUUCCCUACCGGGCCCACAUGGUGCCGAGACGCCCUGAGCACCCACCUCUCGCUCACCUCUGUCGCCUCCUGCACUGCCUGAGCUGUAGCAGGUCUGCAAGUGCAGCCUGGUGCAGGGCCCGGGCUAUGCCGUGUGUGCCUGGGGACUGCAGGCCCAGCCGCCCCACAGCCUGAGAGCAGCUUUUGAUGACCCUGAGUGAUGCCACCCAGGGAGCAAGCGUAGUCACCAGGGACUCUUGUUAGGCACUUCACUUAAUGAUGGUUCUCCAGGACACCUGUAGGGGCAUUAGGAGUUGUGUAGCUCAUCACUGCUUCGAAGCAGGGACUAAAGCCCACUGCCUGCACGUGGUUCCAAGUGCCCCCUGAAGUGUCCUAGGAGUGACACAGUGUCUACUCAGUGUCUGUGGUUUGUGUUGAAAGAAUGGGUUGGCUCUAAAUUCUAAACCAAAACCAUGGCAGACACUGUGUUACCAGACCAAAGAAAGGUUGUGUGACAAGAACCUCAUUAAGGUCAUUAAAACUGGCCUCCCUGGAACAGUGUGGGCAGUGACAGUGGCGAAGGCCACAGAGGAAGAGCAGGACCUCAGGAGGGCCUGCGCCAUGUGCCCACGGAGCACCAGCCACACCAGCCCGGGGUCCCCGUCCUGUAGACGCCUCGGCAUUCACCUCUGACUCGGCCAACAGGGCCCAGCUUCCAGCUGCCCAGGCAGGAUCAGGACCACCCGCGCCAGGGCCCACAGGGCAAAUGCUCUGUUUAAAUGUUUUGUGCUGCAGGAAACGACAGCACAAGCCUGGCUCAGGAAAGCCUGAGAUCAGGACAGGGCAGAGCGGUAUGGACCGGGCCAUGUCGUCCCUGCAGGGCGGGCAGAGCAGUGUGGACCUGCCAGAGCCACACACCCAGGCCGUGUCUUCCCCAGCACCGCUGUCCUCGCGGGUCUCCAUCUGGGCAGUAGGACUGGCACAGUGCAUGGGAGCCUGGAGCAUCCCAGCACAAGACCUUGGUGCCUCCAGGACUGAAGUCAGCUCUAGAGCCCAAGGCAGGAAAGAUGGCUGACGUGGUCUAGGGUCCCCUGCCUUGUGCUCGUGUGCCCUAGUGAUGGUGCUCAGAGCCCUCGGUGUAGAGCUGCAUACCCUCAGGGUCCCUUCUUUAGCCUGCUGCAAGGCCUGGCCUCAGCAGGAACACAGGGAGCCACAGAGCAGCGUCAGCCACCCCUUGCCAGGCUGAGUGGUGGCCUCAGGCUGACGCCAUGGCGUCCUGUGCUGGCACACAGCAGCCGUGGAGGCUGCAGGGUGAGGGCGGUCCUGGCCACAGCACAGGUGGUCAGUUGUGCACGUGCCCGGGUUUUCUGGGGAGAUGAGGGGUCCAACCCACCUUCCUUGGCCGGCAUUAGGGGCUUCAGCCCACCUCCCUGUCGGGGUCACUGCUGCUGCCCUAGGAGAGGGUCCGUGGCUGCCCGCCUGGCCCCAGCAGCAGUGAUUCAGAAUCCAGUGUGGUGAGUGCCAAGCUCCCCUGAGACUGCUUCUAUCCCGACUCUGUCUGCAUCGUGUGCACCUAAAAGCCCUGCUAUCUGCUAUCUGCUGAGUGUUCGACUAUGAGCAGCACAGGGGUUGUGCAUUAAGAGGUGGUUUUCCCACUUCUCAAGUGAAAUAUCUCAUUCAUGUCCCCAGAAGAUGUAAACCACUGUAUUUCCCAGAAUUCUGAAGUGUGUUCUCACUGUGCCUUCUGAUCACCCUAAGUGUCUACGUGCUUUUUAGUUCACUCGCACGUGUAUGUAGUCACUGGUCGGGGGCACCAGGCCUCUGCAGGGCUGGCACGGCCUGCCGGGGUGCCCAGCCUUCCUGUGCCAUGCACGGGGACGGUACUGCACGUGCUUGGAUGGAUGCCCUGGGAAGUGUUUGUUGUCCUUGUCUCAGGCAGGGCACCCUGCCUCUGCAGGAAUGAUCAGGUGGCCAGGGCCAGAGCUGGGGUGGGGACAGCUGGGGUGACACUCCCUCCACCGGUGUGAACACAGCCUGUGCCGCAGUGGUUCCAGAUCACCUCGGAGACAGAAAGCCUGGGGCCCCAGUGCCACAACCUGCACUGGCGUUUACGCUGAGGCUGUGGGUGCAGGCUUCGGACAUACCUGUGACGUGCUCCACCAUCUCGUGGGUGAAUUCCCUCAAGCUAAGUGAGCCUUCAGACUCCAGCCCACUUGCUGCAGUGGACCCUGUGUGGACGUACCCUCCGACCACCCAUGUUUGGUGACCGCCCAUCCUCCCUCUGCCAUGUCCUCUGCUGGUCUGGUGACACCUUCUCCUGCCCUUGCAGAACCGUGGUCAUGCCAAUUGCCAAUGAGUUUGCCCCAGACAUGGUGCUGGUGUCAUCGGGCUUCGAUGCCGUGGAGGGCCACCCCACACCUCUCGGAGGGUACAACCUCUCUGCCAGAUGUUUCGGGUACCUGACGAAGCAGCUGAUGGGCCUGGCCGGCGGCCGGAUCGUGCUGGCCCUCGAGGGAGGCCAUGACCUG